GAUGAACGCUGGCGGCGUGCCUAACACAUGCAAGUCGAACGAAGCACUUUUAUCGAUUUCUUCGGAAUGAAGUUUUAGUGACUGAGUGGCGGACGGGUGAGUAACGCGUGGGUAACCUGCCUCACACAGGGGGAUAACAGUUGGAAACGGCUGCUAAUACCGCAUAAGCGCACAUUACCGCAUGGUACGGUGUGAAAAACUCCGGUGGUGUGGGAUGGACCCGCGUCUGAUUAGCUAGUUGGGAGGGCAACGGCCUACCAAGGCGACGAUCAGUAGCCGACCUGUGAGGGUGAGCGGAGACAUUGGGCCUGAGACACGGCCCAAACUCCUCCGGGAGGCAGCAGUGGGGGAUAUUGCACAAUGGGGGAAAACCUGAUGCAGCGACGCCGCGUGGGCGAAGAAGUAUUUCGGUAUGUAAAGCUCUAUCAGCAGGGGAGAAGAAAUGACGGUACCUGACUAAGAAGCACCGGCUAAAUACGUGCCAGCCGCCGCCGUAA
rnacentral:rRNA from 1 species